GGAGUAUGCACUGGCUCCGGAGGUUGCUUUCUCUCUCUCUGGUCUAGUGGAGCACUGUUCAUGUGCCUGUCUGAUUUAGUCGGAGGUAGCUGUAUUUUUUUUUUCCGUCCAGUGGGAGCGCUUCAGGACAACGUUCAGCUCUAGCUGCGAGGAAAGUUAAGUCACAUUAUUGUGCUCUAAGUGUAUUUAACCCUUUAGAAUGCCAGUAGCUGCUGUAGGUAUUUGCCUGAUCUGUGUAUUUUUCUCUCCCUUUUUGGACAGGAGUGUAGCAAUCCAGGCGGGUCCUCGGCUGACCUAGAGGUGGUGGAGCCUUCUCACCUUUUCCUUUGCUGUGUGCACAACGGUAGGGAGACAAGGCAGCAGCUGCGAUUUUCAGGAACAACUGGUACCUGGCCUAAGGGGUCUCCUAAGAUGGGAGCUGCAUGUGCCAAUCUGACUUUUCUACUUUGAGGAGAAUCAGCUGGUUAUCAUCUGCAGUACUCUCCAUUUUAAUAUGCUCUGACUGUGUUUAUACUAAUUUGUCAUAAAUUUGAAUUGUUUAUAUAUACAUAUGCUUCUUGUCAACUGUCCCUUUGUGAGGAAGGCCUAGA